UACGAAGGGGGCUAGCGUUGCUCGGAAUCACUGGGCGUAAAGGGUGCGUAGGCGGGUCUUUAAGUCAGGGGUGAAAUCCCGAGGCUCAACCUCAGAACUGCCUUCGAUACUGGCAAUCUCGAGUCCGGAAGAGGUUGGUGGAACAGCUAGUGUAGAGGUGAAAUUCGUAGAUAUUAGCUAGAACACCAGUGGCGAAGGCGGCCAACUGGUCCGGUACUGACGCUGAGGUGCGAAAGCGUGGGGAGCAAACAGG
rnacentral:rRNA from 1 species